AGCCCGGUGGUGUAGCGGUCAAGCAUGCGGGCCUUUGGAGUCCGCGACGGCGGUUCGAAUCCGCCCCGGGCUA
rnacentral:tRNA from 1 species